ACGCUGGCGGUGUGCUUCACACAUGCAAGUCGAACGAGGUAGCAAUACCUAGUGGCGGACGGGUGAGUAACGCGUGGGAAUCUGCCUUUAGAUGGGGGAUAACGGGUCGAAAGACUCGCUAAUACCGCAUAUGACGAAAGUUGAAAGGAGUAAUCCGUCUAAAGAUGAGCCCGCGUCCGAUUAGCUAGUUGGUAGAGUAAAAGCCUACCAAGGCGACGAUCGGUAGCUGGUCUGGGAGGGUGAUCAGCCACAAUGGGACUGAGACACGGCCCAUACUCCUACGGGAGGCAGCAGUGGGGAAUUUUACGCAAUGGGCGAAAGCCUGACGUAGCGACACCGCGUGAGCGAAGAAGCCCCUUGGGGUGUAAAGCUCUGUCAGCUGGAACGAAAAAAUGACGGUACCAGCAGAGGAAGCAUCGGCUAACUACGUG
rnacentral:rRNA from 1 species